UUGAUAACAAGAAUUACUGGCAACAACCAUUCUUGGAAGACAAGUGUGUCAACUCUACGAAAUUACGUCGAUACUUCCACAUAUUAUGGGUAAUGUAGGAGACAUCUCUAUUUUUCCCCCGGGGAAUCUUUAGAAUUACCACUGCUUAGCUUUCAAUUCGCCUUUGACCAUCAAUUGAAAUGUGAAUAACCCGCCUUCCUCUCUUUGAAACAAGGGGUGCUUCCAAUCAGCAUGCCAACUCAUCCCACAGACUGCAAAUAAAUACGCAUGGCUGACAACUGGAAUGCAAUCGUCCUCCAGCUUAUAGCCAAAUCGUCUCUCUCUGAAAACCGUUAAAGCUGCUUGUACCUCCUGCUUGUUCUGCGUUGUUUUUUGCAAUCUGUUGUCCCUUGUGUUGUCUUUGUUUUCUGUCUCUUGAGAGCCAAAUAGCUCUAUAAAUGUAUCCUCCCUUUAACCAAGAUGAAAAUGAAUGAAUAUCACAUUUUGCUGUGAAU
rnacentral:lncRNA from 1 species